ACAAGGCAGGGAGAAGGAAUAAGGAUGGGGCAGUAACUGCAGAGAAGUGAUGGAAGAGAAUAAAAGCACUUGGCUGUGGAGCAAAGGGUGGAAUGGAAGAAAGAUGUAUGUGAUGUAAUGGUGAUGCGAUAGCUACCUCCUCAAUUUAAAAUCCAGCCAUGAUAAAUGUAGAAAGGCACUUUGGAGAAAGGAGAUUAUCCUCUCCCUUCUCCUGGAGAUGGAGUGCACAGGAUGAAAUGCUGAAGUCAGUUGACUUGCCCAAGCAAAGAAAGAAGACUCAGAGAGAAGAUGAGCUCCGUCUUUCUCCGCUUCCCAUCCCAGAGGCAGGCUCCAGGUUGCAGCUGGUAAAGCCUCAGCUCGGUCCUUUGGGCUCUGUGCUCCGGCCACGUACAGGCUCCCAAACUAGCCAGCCAGAUUGAAGUGACUUGCCUGAGGUCACCAAAGAAGGCAGAGGCAGAGAGAAUUUCACCGUGGUCCCGUGGCUGCUUGCCUAGUUUGGUAAAAAUGGUAACUUCUGACUAAAACUAGAAUGAAAUACACAGCAAGAGAUGAAAACAUCAGCCCCAGGACUCCAUUUUGGGGCUAUAAUGCAGGAAGACUUAAAACAUUUGUAAGAUAACACCCCCAAUAUAUCUACGGUUUUUCACCAGCCUGAGGAAUGUUUCUCCCUGCUCGGGUCUCCUAACUCCAGCCUAAUGAAUAAAAGGGACAUAUGAGCAAUUGGUGCUCAGAAUUGAUCGCCUGUACGAGGAAGCCAUUUCAUUGCAGGGCUAGAGAUUGCACCCCCGUGCCAAGAAGUGUCCUCCAGGGCUCCUGGAUAUCUAAAAUGUUGCUAAAAACUUGAUCUAGCCCUUUUGCCCAGGGGCAAAUUCCACCUGUAAUUAUUAGGACCAGGAACGCUCACCUAGUCCAGGAGCCUGACUACUUGAACAUUUAUCUCCAUAAGCUUUACACUUUAAUAAAUAAUUUACCCCCAAAAUGCACUUAAAUUAGAUCUAUAAUUCCAGCAUGAGGCUCUGGUGGUGUGAAGAGACCUCCUGACUUUGCUCCGAUCAUUUAUAAUGCCACCAUAAGCCAUCAGUGGAAUUGCAGCAUUAUUAUUUAUAGCACCGCUUAUAUUGUUCCCUCUCUCGUUUAUUAUCCUCAAUUGGAAUGGCCCCAGCCAGGCUGCACGGAAAGAUGCCGCACAGCUCCCAGCACGGGUCAUUUCUUAGCACCGAAGUGCUACCAUCCCACGGAAGCGGCGAUGUUAUCAGCACCAGGAUGGCUGCAAAUUGCCUGGCUCUCCUGUCCUCAGUUCUGCCAGUCCUUCCCUUCAGUUUGGGUAGCAUCAAGGGGGGAGGCGCCGAGGCUGUAUCUUUUCAGUGGCUGCUUCCACUUCCCAGCUUGAGGAGGGCGAGCAGCAGCCCCAACACUGCACGAACCUGUGCAGAAACCUGCAUGGGAUGGGGGACAAGGAAUGGGCACCUAUAUGUGCACCCAUCCCUGCAUCCCCCUCCUGAAUUCGCAUUCUGCGAACCCCAACCCCGUCCUCCUUACUCCGGUAGAAGCUGCUUCCAAUUACUAAAUCUGGGAUUCAAGAAAAAAAAAGAAAAAAAAAGUGUCAGAUUGAAGAUCACCUGGUAUCCCCGAUGGUUUUUCGUUCCAGAUGCAUUAUGAUAAUUGUAAGUGACAUCACCUCGUGCUAUUUUUGUCACAGGUGAUUUUUUUUUUUUUUUCAUAAUGCAUAGAACAUGAGAGCCAUCUCCACGGUGCAGGGGGUGCACGCUCUGCUCUGCUUCAUCCUGCACUGCUCCAGCAACACCCGACCCGCAGCAGCCAUUCAGCGGGACAAGCCAGAGCCCAGAAAAUAAAAGCAGGUGGAAAUGCAACAUUUCCAUGGGAUGUGCUGCGAGCAUCACCCAUGGCAAGCUGCUGCAUUGCCAACGUCCUGCCUUGCCAUUGCUCCUACUCCUAAAUGGGUACGAGAAACUGUCUUAAAUGGUUAGGAAAAGUCUGCCUUUCUUUCCUCCUGCCCUCCCUAGCUUGCCUGGAUUUCCUCCCAUGACCCACUCGUUUCGCUGCAGCCCCACCUUGGUGCUGACAGGCUUCCUGCCCCCUGGUUCGACCUCUGCAAUCACAUCAUGAAACGAUACAAAGGAGUGAAGAGAGGCGCAGAUAAAGGAUCAGCACAGCUAAAAGUGGGAGCAAAGAGCACAGGGAAGGUUGCACGUCCCUGUAGCUCAAAACACAGCCACGCAAAGCAGGGACAGAGCGGCACAGCCACGGGGAUGGCACACACCUCGGGCUGGGUUUCAGGGCACAGCAGAAUCCUACCAGGAAAGAGGGAUUAAACCUUGCAGCAGGAACAAAGAAAGUAAGUCCUUUUGUGCCUCCCUCCCUUAAGAAAUGUAUCAGCACGCUGGCAGCAGAAGGCCUUUCUGGGUUAAUUCAUUUUUUUUUUCCUCCUGAGUCCAGCAACACCAGAGUUCACUUAGGCAGAGCACGAACCCCCCUCCUGAAAGGAGCAGGCAGGCUUUGGGGAUUUCGUUUUUCUUGCAGAAAAGAAAAACUAGAAGGAAGGAGGGGGGAUCUGACUGUGCUGCCCCGUGGAAUCGCUCCGUUAACGCUGAUCCCCCCCCCAGCCAUCCAAAGCUUUGCUUAAAUCCGCGUGGGCUGGAGGCUUUCAGAGGCAGCCCCCACUUGUCCCUGGUGCAGAGCUGGCAGCAGGGGGCUGGGGAUGGGGCAGCAGAGGAGCAGCCCCUCUGCUCCUCGGGUCCACUUGUUAACUGGUUGUUGGUGGUGCUUUCUUCUGUGUAUUUCUGGAAAAUCAGAGGCUGACCACGCUCAGGACCACUGAUGAGCUGGGUUGGGGCAGCACACCAUGCUCAGGAGCAUUUUCAUGAGCAGGCAGAUGUCCGAAGGGGCAAACUGGGGCUCUGCUUUUGCCUGUGGGAACCCCCAUGUCUGAACAGCUGAGGCAAUCAAGCCAGAGAGAACUUCAAAUGAUGUUUUUUUCCUCCUUUUUUAAUUUUUUUUCCUCACUUGUAGUUGUCUUGCUGAACAUUGUUGAUUUGGUGGACUGCACAAGCGGCCACGUGGGAUCUUUAUGUAAAGACACACGUCAUUAAAGAGUUAUUCAGUUCGGUCCUAAGUCAGCUGUGUGCCACACUUUUGAUGUCCUUUCUUCUGUCACUGACAAGUAGUUAUAUUAAGAAUAGAAGUAGCUAUAUUAAGGAUAAAAGAUCUGAAAACUGAAGAAGAUUUUAAAGCAGUAAAAAUAUCCCCCCCUUUGGUCUCUUCCAUAACAAAGGGUUUGUUUUGGGCACUAAAUCUCAG